GCCACAACUUGUCCUGAGGAAACGCCCAGUGUCCUUUACCAAAAAAUAUGUAAAGGGGCUCAUCUUCCAUGAAAGCAAUUCGCAAAAGAAAUAAGAGUUUCAAAAUAUACUCAGAGACCAAGUAAGGUUGUCCCCUCCGUGCCUCUAAAGGAUUAUUUCAAGUUUCCCAUGCUCAGUCUGUGUGCAUCCAGAAAGCUGUAACUUCUUGGCUGAGCUCAAGCUGAACUGAUAGGAACUCCUGGCUGAAAGAUUAACAAGAUAUUUACACUCAUUUUCACAGGGGAACCUCAACAAGGGUCGUUAGCAAAUGAUUUGUUUGGCUUUCUGGACUGAACCCCAGGAAAGUACAUAAAAAUGCUAAUUAGAUGUUAAGAGAACACAAGGAAUCCUUGAGAAAUCAUUGAGGUGGUCACCCUACUUUGGCAAAGCCUCAGAGUCAGUAGAUAAGUCUGCCUUAUAAAAGAGAUUCAGAGAAAUGAGUUGGCAAGACCCCCUUGGUGCCCUGUUACCAUGAGUUCUGUUAAAGGAAACCCUUCCUUACAAUGCACUAAGCCCCACCUCGAGCCUCUGUUGCUGUGUUCUGUUCUAGAGGCAGCAACACUCAAAUGACUGGUUUCCUUCUGUGUGUAGAUUGAGAAACACAGCAGGAUGAAUAAUAAAAGAUCCAGGAUAAAGUUGUGCUAGGAAACAAGAAACGGCAAAGACCCAGCGAUAAGAGCAGCCCACCACCUGCCAGGUCACGGAAGGCAAGAAUGCGAUGCUGCCCUCUGGAGCCCCCAAAGAGGUUGUCUGGGAAAUAAGAAAGCUCAGUCAGACAUCAUUCUUUUUUGUAGACAUAACUGAAAUUAGUGAAAGCCCGUGUCAUGAGCCAGAUGGGAGGAGAGAACCCCUGGGCACAGGCACCUCAUAGCGCCCAGUCCAUGUAAUUCUGUCUAAAUGGGUUGCCAACCAGCUCUCAUAUCAGCAAUAGAGUCUUUGUUCACACAGUAAUAAACUGAAGUGUACAAUUGAGUUUACA
ensembl:lncRNA